rnacentral:rRNA from 1 species
UCUUUAUAUUAAUUAAUUUAAUUUUAAUUAUUUAAUUUUUAUAAAUUUAAAUUAAAAAUUAUUUUAUUGGGGUGAUAUAAAAAUUUAAAUAACUUUUUAUUUAAUUUUAUUUUAAUAAAAAGUAUAAUAUGAUCUAUAAGUUAUAAUUAUAAGAUUAAGA